GAUGAAGAACGUAGCGAAAUGCGAUACUUGGUGUGAAUUGCAGAAUCCCGUGAACCAUCGAGUCUUUGAACGCAAGUUGCGCCCGAAGCCAUCAGGUUGAGGGCACGUCUGCCUGGGCGUCACAUAUCGUUGCCCAAUGCCUAUUGCAGUGCAAUAGGAAUUUCUAGGGCGAAUGAUGCCUUCCCGUGAGCGUUGUUGCCUCGCGGUUGGUUGAAAAUCGAGUCCUUGGUAGGGUGUGCCAUGGUAGAUGGUGGUCGAGUUAGAACGAUACCGAUCAUGUGCAUGCUCCCCAAAAUAUGGCCUCUAUGACCCACACGCGUCUUUUGACGCUCAUGACGAGACCUCAGGUCAGGCGGGGCUACCCGCUGAAUUUAAGCAUAUCAAUAAGCGGAGGA
rnacentral:misc_RNA from 1 species